rnacentral:lncRNA from 1 species
CAAAGGCUAAAGCAGAAGAAAGACUCCGAGAGGUGCUGGAGGAAUUUGUAGCUGGAUGCAGGCAAUAUUCACUCAAUGCAGAGAGAAAAACCAUGGCACAUCCAAACAACCUUGACAGAUGUCGGACAAAAUACAUCAUGCGCAACACCAUCCUGUAUGCGAAGCAGGGGCUCCGCGUGAGGAGGCGGCUGACUCGAGCCAACAUCAAGGAGAAGGUUAAGGAGACGAGGAAAAUCCUGGCAAAGCUACGCUUCUUGGCUGAAGAGGUACGGCUGCUCCUGGGCCAUCCUGCUCCCGAGUGG